rfam:Salinivibrio sp. KP-1 scf7180000001583, whole genome shotgun sequence.
AAUUCCCUGGGGUGUUUGUCAGCGGAUCUACGUCCCUGAGCCGAUAAGCAAAACUAAGGGUGCGUUGUUAUAGGCUACUGAGCAAGCUCGGCAUGCACCGAGAAGCCUACGGCUUAUACUACCCACCCGCCUUGAACCAGCGGGUUCAAGGGCCAUCGAUCCCAACGGCACCCCGGGGUCCUC